AUGGUUGGAAAGAGAUAUUGCUGGAUCCAGCUCAAGUGGAUUUGGGAUGCUAAGCUCCCCUUAAAAAUUCAAAUCUUCUUAUGGCAGGUGGGGCAAAAUGCCAUCUUGACUAGAGAUAAUAUGAAAAAAAGAUUUUGGCCUGGAAACCCCUGUUGCUCCUUCUGUAAUCAAUUGGAAACAACCUCGCACUUUCUUUUCUUGUGUCCUGUAUCUAGAGUGAUUUGGAGAACUGUAGGAGCUCUCCUUGGGACUGAUUGUUGUCCUAAUUCCAUCUGGCAGUAUUAUACUUGGAUGUAUAGUUUCUUACCUGGCUUUGAAAAAAAUUUAUACUAUUGGCUUGGCAGCUGUAUGCUGGGCCAUAUGGCUAGCCCGGAACAGAGCUACUUCCGAAUGCAAAUGGAUUAA
rnacentral:rRNA from 1 species